UGGGGAAUCUUGCGCAAUGGGCGAAAGCCUGACGCAGCGACGCCGCGUGAGUGAUGAAGGCCUUCGGGUUGUAAAGCUCUGUGGAGGGGGACGAAUAAGUCGUGGCCAACAUCCACGAUGAUGACGGUACCUCUUUAGCAAGCACCGGCUAACUCUGUGCCAGCAGCCGCGGUAAGACAGAGGGUGCAAACGUUGUUCGGAAUUACUGGGCGUAAAGCGCGUGUAGGCUGCUCCGCAAGUCGGAUGUGAAAGCCCUGGGCUCAACCUAGGAAGUGCAUUCGAAACUGCGGAGCUGGAGUCCUGGAGAGGAAGGCGGAAUUCUCGGUGUAGAGGUGAAAUUCGUAGAUAUCGAGAGGAACACCGGUGGCGAAGGCGGCCUUCUGGACAGUGACUGACGCUGAGACGCGAAAGCGUGGGGAGCAAACAGGAUUAGAUACCCCUGUAGUCC
rnacentral:rRNA from 1 species